CCUACGGGAGGCAGCAGUGAGGAAUAUUGGUCAAUGGUCGGGAGACUGAACCAGCCAAGCCGCGUGAGGGAGGAAGGCCCAGUGGAUUGUAAACUUCUUUUGUAAGGGAAUAAAGUCUUCCACGCGUAGGCGUUUGUGUGUACCUUAUGAAUAAGGAUCGGCUAACUCCGUGCCAGCAGCCGCGGUAAUACGGAGGAUUCGAGCGUUAUCCGGAUUUAUUGGGUUUAAAGGGAGCGUAGGUGGUCUGUUAAGUCAGGGGUGAAAGGUAGCGGAUCAACCCACGACUGGCCGUGGAAACUGGCAGUCUCGAGUGCAGUAGAGGUGGGCGGAAUUCGAGGUGUAGCGGUGAAAUGCAUAGAUAUCACGAAGAACUCCGAUUGCGAAGGCAGCAUGCCGGCCCGACACUGACGCUGAGGCACGAAAGCGUGGGUAUCAAACAGGAUUAGAUACCCCUGUAGUC
rnacentral:rRNA from 1 species